ensembl:lncRNA
CAUGGUGGAAGGAAAGAACCAAUCUCUGUUAAUUGUCCUUUGACCACAAGCAAGGAGUAAUAAAUAAAAGGAAUUAAAUUUAUUUUAAACUACCACUACUAUUCCAACUAGGUUGUGUCCGGUGUUGUUGAAAAGAGCUGGUCCUUAUUCAGGAACUCUGGAGAGGCAGCCAAGAGGGAAAAUCUGCAGUUUCUUACAUUCAUGUUACUUUCCAUAAUAACACAUCCCUCUGUGCUGGGCAUAGAACUUCUCAGCCUCCAGCCAGUCCUCAGGGAAUCAUCAUGAGGUAACUAAGGCACAUCACAGUUUUCAGUAACCAGGGAAAGAGGGCAAAGAAGCCGUGUCAGUGGGUUCACCUUCCGUUGCAAGAAGAAAAAUGCAGAUGAGAAUGGUUACUGGAAAAGGGUGAGUGUGGUCACUGAAGCAGAAAGAGGGAGAAUUACCACUCCUUUUUCUCCUUCACUUCAGUGCUUCUCUUUCCCAUCAGCCAGAGGCGAUAACCCCAAAGAAACUCCUUUCCCAUCGAGGAGAUGGACUGAACCCAAUCAGUUAUCCAGAGGGAUAGAAAGCAGGGUGUGAUGACACAGACCAGGCCAUAGUCCUAUCACUGGGAAGGCAGAGGCAGGAAGACGAAGACUUCAAGACAAUGGAAGAAGGUGUUACUGGAGUUAGAGACUCUAGUGAAGCCCAGGUGGAUGCUGGAAAUCAAAUCCCCAGUCUUCAGGAAGACCAGUCAGCCUUGUAACUACUGAACCAUCUGGAUCCUGAUCCAGCCCCUCAACUAUAAUGUUAAUUGAUGUCCUUAUCCCAUGGCUUCUGUGAAUCCAUACACUGCUCAAGGAAAGCAAAACCUGUCACUUGCAGAAACCGACAUCUACAAAGUUUACAUUCUGUCUUCCAAAACCAUCUCCCUUUCUCCUAUAUGCAGAUGGACACACAGUAUAAGGGAGAAGAUUCCAACCUUGGUGGUUACAUUGUGUCUAAACUCCACAUUAAUU